rnacentral:rRNA from 1 species
CUACGAGCUGCUGCAGUGGGGAAUAUUGGACAAUGGGGGCAACCCUGAUCCAGCAAUGCAGCGUGUGUGAAGAAGGCCUGCGGGUUGUAAAGCACUUUUAUUAGGGAAGAAGGCUUGUGUUUUAAUAGAGCACAGGAUUGACAUUACCUAAAGAAAAAGCACCGGCGAACUCUGUGCCCGCAGCCGCGGUAAUACAGAGGGUGCAAGCGUUAAUCGGAAUUACUGGGCGUAAAGCGCGCGUAGGUGGUUUUUUAAGUCGGGUGUGAAAGCCCCGGGCUCAACCUGGGAAUUGCAUUCGAUACUGGGAAACUAGAGUGUGGUAGAGGAAAGUGGAAUUUCCGGUGUAGCGGUGAAAUGCGUAGAUAUCGGAAGGAACACCAGUGGCGAAGGCGGCUUUCUGGACCAAUACUGACACUGAGGUGCGAAAGCGUGGGGAGCGAACAGGAUUAGAUACCCUCGUAGUC